rnacentral:rRNA from 1 species
UACGUAGGGACCGAGCGUUGUCCGGAAUCAUUGGGCGUAAAGAGCGUGUAGGCGGCCAAUUAAGUCCUGUGUGAAAUCCCUGGGCUCAACCCAGGAACUGCGUCCGAUACUGGUUGGCUUGAAUCCGGGAGAGGAAUGCGGAAUUCCAGGUGUAGCGGUGAAAUGCGUAGAUAUCUGGAGGAACACCGGUGGCGAAGGCGGCAUCCUGGACCGGCAUUGACGCUGAGGCGCGAAAGCCAGGGGAGCAAACGGG